GAGAUAGUAAUUAUUCUAAAAUGUAACUCAAUAUAAAAUAUAAAUUAAAUCAAAGAUGAUAAAGAAGAACAAUUUCAGUUACAAUCUUAGACUCCUAAUUUGCGGGACUCUGAGGCUCUGCGAUCCUAAUUGCGGUUGACCCGAUGCUGGGUCAAAAUGAGAGUUCCGUUGUGAAACUCCAACUCCCAAGAUACAUGAGACAAAUAAAAGAGAUAAAGAUUAGUAAGGAUUAAAAAUAUACUUGAUAAAGUGAACUAAAUGAUAAAUACUGGAAUAAUUCUGAGUCGCGUUGCACACAGAGUUAAGGAGCAAACAUAGCUACAAUGUAUAUUAAGAAUUAUGUAGAGCAACAGGAGGUAUCACAUACAUUUGUUUUUCAAAAAAUGACACUGGGAUCUUAGUUACUAAUCCCACAAUUAAAUUACCACAACACAUUUUGAGCCCCAUUGAGGCAAAUAAUGCUACUAUAAACUACCAACAAAAAUAAUUAAAAAAAAAAAAAUUAGGACCCCCAAAAAAAUCUUUUCUUUUGUCUUUACUUACUUAAACAUUCAAGCUUCCCCUUUUUUAAGAAUUAACAAGACACGUCAAUCAAUGGGACCAAGUUAAUUUUGGCAAAACAUAUUUCAUGGGCACACAUAUUCAAAGUGCAUUACACAGAGAUACUUGGUUUUUGCAAUAUGGUUCGGAAGUACCUCUCACACGUCAAUUCAUAUAUUUAUAAUCUCACAUGUUCACCUAAAAGGGAGUCUUCAGAAAAAUGUUGACAGAAUUCAAGAGAUAACCCAGCGAAUAUUUAUAAUCUCACAUGUUCAACUAAAAGGGAGUCUUCAGAAAAAUGUUGACAGAAUUCAAGAGAUAACCCAGCGAAUGGACUCAAAAUUCUUUUUUACUAAUCAAAAUAUAGAUAGGAAAAACAACACAUAAGUAGCAAAUCCUUCGUGUUGAUAGGCGACAGAAAGCUGAAAUAUGCAUGGACACCAAGAAAAUAAUUAUAUCUAUAAUCAAUCACGAGUUUAACCAUAUUCCUUGAGUUUGCAAAUAGAACCAUGGCAUUGAAGUUUUUAGUUGCUAAAUUCACAAGUAGAAUAUUUAUGAGUAAAGCUUUGCGAAAACGUUAGAAACCAAAACAAAGUAGACAACAUUUUGUUGACGGGAGGGCUGCCGAGAGGAGAGAAAAAAAAAAAAGGAUUUAGCAUAUUCCGACUCACAGCUACUUUUAUUUGAAACUCAUCUUGGAAUUAACCGCAAGUGUUGGUCACCCCAAAUUCACUCAACUGCUCUUAAAGAUCAAAAUUCCACACCAAUUUUAAAGCUUUGAAUUGCAAAACAUGGUGCUUAAUGGGGACACAUGAUGCCAUGCAUAACUCAGACAUAAACGAUGGAUAAGGGAACACAUAGUGGGAUAGAGCACUUAAUGCUUGCUUAGUUCUACAACAAUACGUAAAAAGCAAUUUCAUGGAUGAGGAAAACUAGAAAAUCGCCUAACCUUCUUCUUAAUGCAUUUUGUUCUUUACCUCUGAAAAGGUAUUUCCGAAACUAAGUUAUUUUAGUUACUGGUUGAUAACAGAUUCUAAAAAAUUCACAAAUAUAUUUCAGCAUUUUCGCUUAUUGUGGAACGCAUCGGGAUUUCUCAAACAGCAAAAACAGUGGCACCGAAUGCCAUAAUCAGAAUUUGCAACAAAGUCAUCCCGUACACUCACAAAUCAGUCCAGGUCAUAGGUGAAAAAGAUGAAACCAAAGCCUUUAAAACUCAAAAUAAGAAACACCAACACCACAUAACUUGAAACCGAAACAAACAAACAUUCACAUGUUUAUGCCAAGAUUGCCAUAACUCCUCAAAACCGAAAUUAUAUUCGUCGGGAGUAAUCAGAAAGGCUAUAUUAACGCAAUCUUGAUCACCGCAAAACAAAAAAUUAAAUUCUUAUAGAGCUAAAAUAAAAAGGGAAAAUCAAAGGGAAGAUUCGCACCUUUUUUUGGGCAGCAAACUAAAGCUUUGUGUCAACAAUUUCCAGUGACUUCGAAACUUAACCACGGGACUUUUCUUGUUUUUACACCUUCUGAAAAACUCUAACGAUUUAUUUUUUUUGCUCUAUCUCUCCAAAUUUUCUCACGAAUUUCUUCUUGUUUUCCUCCCUUUUUUCACUUCUUUUUUUUGCUGAUCUUGAACUUGUCCCCAUGGAGAUGGAGAACCUUCAAUUUAUAGGUGAAUCCGGACUUGGAAACUCAAAUUAAGCAAAUAUGAUAAAAAAAAACUUAGUUUGAAAUUGAUUCGAAGUUCUGAACGAAUAUCUUAUUUUCCAGGCCAUUAAAUGGCGAUUUGAAACCUUUUUUUCCGUUGUUAUACAGAUUUAGCACUGAUUUUUCUGUCUUCGAAAGGAUUUGUCUGUUGGAGGGGCUGAUUUGGGGAGAAUCUUGGGUAGGGACGGUAUCUGCGUCUGCAUGGCCGCAGACUAUGGUAAUUAGGGUUGUGGCAUUUGUUGGAGGGGUGUUGAGGAGGAUGAAGAAGAUGGAGAAAGCCGUUUGAAUUUUUUGUGUGUGUUGGGAAAGACGGAUGGGAAAGGUCGAUGACCUUUUGGGGAAGAGGACUUCACGUGAUUAUGAAUUUUG
rnacentral:lncRNA from 1 species